UACGGGGGGAGCAAGCGUUGUUCGGAUUUACUGGGCGUAAAGGGCGCGUAGGCGGCCACCGCAAGUCGACUGUGAAAUCUCCGGGCUUAACCCGGAAAGGUCAGCCGAUACUGCGGGGCUAGAGUGCAGAAGGGGCAACUGGAAUUCUCGGUGUAGCGGUGAAAUGCGUAGAGAUGUGGAGGAACACCAGUGGCGAAGGCGACUCUCUGGUCUGUAACUGACGCUGAGGAGCGAAAGCGUGGGGAGCAAACAGG
rnacentral:rRNA from 1 species